rnacentral:rRNA from 1 species
UUUAUGGAGAGUUUGAUCCUGGCUCAGGAUGAACGCUGGCGGCGUGCCUAAUACAUGCAAGUCGAGCGAACAGAUGAGGAGCUUGCUCCUUUGACGUUAGCGGCGGACGGGUGAGUAACACGUGGGUAACCUACCUAUAAGACUGGAAUAACUCCGGGAAACCGGGGCUAAUGCCGGAUAACAUGUUGAACCGCAUGGUUCAACAGUGAAAGACGGUCUUGCUGUCACUUAUAGAUGGACCCGCGCCGUAUUAGCUAGUUGGUAAGGUAACGGCUUACCAAGGCGACGAUACGUAGCCGACCUGAGAGGGUGAUCGGCCACACU